rnacentral:rRNA from 1 species
AUUGAACGCUGGCGGCAGGCCUAACACAUGCAAGUCGAACGAGUGGCGGACGGGUGAGUAAUGUCUGGGAAACUGCCCGAUGGAGGGGGAUAACUACUGGAAACGGUAGCUAAUACCGCAUACCAUCGGUUGUCCCCAGAUGGGAUUAGCUAGUAGGUGGGGUAAUGGCUCACACAGGCGACGAUCCCUAGCUGGUCUGAGAGGAUGACCGGCCACACUGGAACUGAGACACGGUCCAGACGCCUGCGGGAGGCAGCAGAGGGGAAUAUUGCACAAGGGGCGCAAGCCUGAUGCAGCCAGGCCGCGUGUGUGAAGAAGGCCUUCGGGUUGUAAGGCACUUUCAGCGGGGAGGCGUUACCCGCAGAAGAAGCACCGGCUAACUCCGUGCCAGCAGCCGCGGUAAUAC